UACAGAGGUCCCGAGCGUUGUUCGGAUUCACUGGGCGUAAAGGGUGCGUAGGCGGCGCGGUAAGUCGGGUGUGAAAUCUCGGAGCUUAACUCCGAAACUGCAUUCGAUACUGCCGUGCUUGAGGACUGGAGAGGAGACUGGAAUUUACGGUGUAGCGGUGAAAUGCGUAGAUAUCGAGAGGAACACCUGCGGCGAAGGCGGGUUGCUGGGCUGACACUGACGCUGAGGCGCGAAAGCUAGGGGAGCGAACGGG
rnacentral:rRNA from 1 species